UACCAGCACCCCGAGUGGUCGGGACGAUUAUUGGGCCUAAAGCAUCCGUAGCCGGUCCUGCAAGUCUUCCGUUAAAUCCAGCUGCUCAACAGAUGGGCUGCGGGGGAUACUACAGGGCUAGGAGGCGGGAGAGGCAAGCGGUACUUUAUGGGUAGGGGUAAAAUCCGCUGAUCCAUAGAAGACCACCAGUGGCGAAGGCGGCUUGCCAGAACGCGCUCGACGGUGAGGGAUGAAAGCUGGGGGAGCAAACCGG
rnacentral:rRNA from 1 species